rnacentral:rRNA from 1 species
UACGAGAGUUUGUAACACCCGAAGUCGGUAGGGUAACCUUUAUGGAGCCAGCCGCCGAAGGUGGGACAGAUAAUUGGGGUGAAGUCGUAACAAGGUAGCCGUAUCGGAAGGUGCGGCUGGAUCACCUCCUUUCUAAGGA